AGUCCGGGUCUACCUCUCACCUGAAGUCAACUAGAAGAGAGUCCAGCUCAUCAAUGACCCUAAUGAGGAUAACACCGUAAUUUGAUGGGAUUCAAGCCAAGCUUCUGAAGAUCAAGACCCAUGGCUACCAGCAUCUGGAGCAAGGUGAAAUGGACAGCCUUUGGCUGGAGUUCUGUUGUUGCGAGUGGCUUCCAAGCUCCUGUCCCAGCAGUGCAGGGCCCGUGGUAGAGAAGUGCCUCGAACUUGGAAAGUCAUCCAGUUGCUGAGAGAACAACAAGCAGCUGUUCUUCAUCAAAUAGCCACUGCACAACAAAUAGAGGGGCUGCAGAGAAAACAAAAUGUUACUGUAACCGCAACUGGCAUUUAACUCAGAAAAAGUAAUGCUGAAGAAUGC